GACGAACGCUGGCGGCGUGCUUAACACAUGCAAGUCGAACGAAGUGGCGAACGGGUGAGUAACGCGUAAUCAACCUGCCCUUCAGAGGGGGCCAACAGUUGGAGACGACUGCUAAUACCGCAUACUGAAGGAGGGGAUUGCGUCUGCUUGGCUAGUUGGCGGGGUAACGGCCCACCAAGGCGAUGAUCAGGAGCCGGUCGGAGAGGAGUGACGGCCACAUUGGGAACGGGAACCGGGCCAGAAUCCGACGGGAGGGAGCAGUGGGGAAUCUUCCGAAAUGGACGAAAGUCCGACUGAGCAACGCCGCGUUAUGUAUGACGGCUUUCGGGUUGUAAAGCUCUUUUAAUCGGGACGCGGUACCGGAAUAGAAAGCCACGGCUAACUACGUGCCAGCAGCCGCGGUAAUUC
rnacentral:rRNA from 1 species